GUCUCCCUGCUCAAGUGGGCCAUGUCAGAACAACGGAACUUGUGUACCACUGUAUCAAACAAAUGGCUAUAUUUGUCGCUGUACGAGAUCGUACAAAGGAAACCAUUGUGAAAAGACAGUCGAUCACAACUGCAGUUGUUUAUCAGGGCCAGAGGGGAAACAAAUGUGCGACAUAGGAUACUUACUCGUAUUUCCUGCGCCGCGUUCCAUUGAAAACUAUGCCAUGAAAUAUCCAGCCAUACCAUCGGACCUCAGCCAGUUAUCACUGUGUUUUUUUGUAAAAGUUGUUGCAGAUCAAGAACUGCAAU